UACGGAGGGUGCGAGCGUUGUCCGGAAUCAUUGGGCGUAAAGGGCGCGUAGGUGGCGACCCAAGUCGAUGGUGAAAGCUCGCCGCUCAACGGCAAGUCGGCCACCGAUACUGGGUUGCUGGAGCACUGUAGAGGCUCAUGGAAUUCCGGGUGUAGCGGUGGAAUGCGUAGAGAUCCGGAAGAACACCGGUGGCGAAGGCGGUGAGCUGGGCAGUUGCUGACACUGAGGCGCGACAGCGUGGGGAGCAAACAGG
rnacentral:rRNA from 1 species